GGCAACCCUGACGCAGCAACGCCGCGUGUGUGAAGAAGGCCUUCGGGUCGUAAAGCACUGUCAGGAGGGAAGAAAACCGGCAAGUCCGGCGUGACGGUACCUCCUAAGGAAGCACCGGCCAACUCCGUGCCAGCAGCCGCGGUAAUACGGAGGAGGCAAGCGUUAUUCGGAAUUAUUGGGCGUAAAGCGUCCGCAGGGGGCGCAUCAAGUCUGCUGUUAAAGGCUGGAGCUUAACUCCGGUAGAGCAGUGGAAACUGGUGCGCUAGAGGGCGACAGGGGUAGAGGGAAUUCCCAGUGUAGCGGUGAAAUGCGUAGAGAUUGGGAAGAACACCGGUGGCGAAAGCGCUCUACUGGGUCGCACCUGACCCUCAGGGACGAAAGCUAAGGUAGCG
rnacentral:rRNA from 1 species